GAUCAAAAAAAAAAAAACGUCGAAAGCCUUCUCCUCACCUCUACCAUUUCGUCUUCUCCAAUCAAGAGCAAAGAAGCCGAGAACCACUUCUACACAAUCAAUACUUUCGAUUCAAUAAUGAUUCCGUUUCAUCUUCCUCUUUUCCUCUUUCUGUAUGUACUGAUCUUCUCUCUUUCGUACAAACCAAAACCCUAGAACCACUCAAAGCUCAAUCCAUGGCGAUGAAACCACAAUUACGGACGCUUCUCUCCAAUUCUCACCUGCUCCCAACAGAUUCAAUGGCUUCUUAAGCUUUCAAAAAUUCCCGAACUCACCGAAGUUCCAAGCUUUAGUAAAGAAGCUGAGGCUUACUUGCAAGCGAUCAUCGAUGGGUUCAACGUGGAUGCCGCGUUGGAAGUCAAGAAGAUCGAGAAAGUAACCAACCACGAUGUCAAGGCAGUGGAGUACUUCUUGAAACAAAAGUGUGAAUCUCAUCCAGAGUUUGCUAAGGUUCUUGAGUUUUCCAUUUCGCUUGCACCUCUGAGGACAUCAACAACCUCUCCCACCGUUUGAUGCUUCGAGAAUCGCUUAGCUCCGUUAUACUCCCGUCCAUGGAUGAGCUCAUCAAGUUUUUAUCAUUUUUUUUUGUUUCUUCAUUGCUUUUUACACAAGUUUUUAUUUUGUUGUUGUUGCUGCAGAGGUGGCUUCUUGGAUGUCACGGUAGAGAGACAAGCAGCGAGGAUAAGGAGUAUGUAUCUGAAAACAAUUCUCAGACAAGACAUUGGAUUUUUCAAUGUGGAAACAAACACAGGAGAGGUUGUUGGUAGAAUGUCUGGAGAUACUGUUCUUCUACAAGACGCGCCAUGGGUGAGAAGGUUGGGAAGUUUAUUCAGCUGGUAUCUACAUUCGUCGGUGGAUUUGCAUUAGCUUUUGUUAAAGGAUGGCUAAGGUCUUCAUCGAGAAUUAUAUAUUAUGUACAAAAGAGGUGGCUUCUUGGAUGUCACGGUAGAGAGACAAGCACGGUAGAGAGACAAGCAGCGAGGAUAAGGAGUAUGUAUCUGAAAACAAUUCUCAGACAAGACAUUGGAUUUUUCAAUGUGGAAACAAACACAGGAGAGGUUGUUGGUAGAAUGUCUGGAGAUACUGUUCUUCUACAAGACGCCAUGGGUGAGAAGGUUGGGAAGUUUAUUCAGCUGGUAUCUACAUUCGUCGGUGGAUUUGCAUUAGCUUUUGUUAAAGGAUGGCUAAGGUCUUCAUCGAGAAUUAUAUAUUAUGUACAAAAGAGGUGGCUUCUUGGAUGUCACGGUAGAGAGACAAGCAGCGAGGAUAAGGAGUAUGUAUCUGAAAACAAUUCUCAGACAAGACAUUGGAUUUUUCAAUGUGGAAACAAACACAGGAGAGGUUGUUGGUAGAAUGUCUGGAGAUACUGUUCUUCUACAAGACGCGCCAUGGGUGAGAAGGUUGGGAAGUUUAUUCAGCUGGUAUCUACAUUCGUCGGUGGAUUUGCAUUAGCUUUUGUUAAAGGAUGGCUAAGGUCUUCAUCGAGAAUUAUAUAUUAUGUACAAAAGCAACAAGGUUCACAACGGUUAUACAAAUAGAGGAAAAUGAUCCCGAUGAUGCCUCUUACCACAUUCCAUCCCCUCCGAUACAAACAGUUGAUCGACAUAGCCACUGGUACCAACAACUUACCAGAUGUAGUUGGACAAAUAAGAAUGUUUCAAGGUAACGAUCUCCGAGGGCAACAACGGAGGUCAGAAUUGGUCUACUACUAAACAGAUACCAAACUUUUUUUUUUUGAAAAAAAAUGUCAAAAAUGGUCUGCUUGCCCAGUUUAGAGACUUACAUAGCAUGACAAUCAUGAAAAACAAAGUUGUAAUCAUUACAAGCAUCAAUCCCAGAGUAUUUAAAGGAAAUCUGAUACUCGCCACAACUCCUGCUACUCGAUUUUAGUGUGACAACACUAUUAAUCUCAUACAAAAAUUAAAAUUUCUAGAUUUGACAAUCUCAAUAGCAGAGAUAGAAGCAAUUUCCAGCAGAUAUAUGGAGUUCCAUGAGGUCUAUGACCACCAAAAAACAAGCCUAUAAGAUUGUUGAACACUGUAGUUUCACAACAACACUAAUAGAGAGUCAGGAACACACACACAAACCAUAUUUAACUCUUAUGCACCAUAAUAAGCAUACAGGUUGUGAUUGGAAAAAAAUAAAUAUUUGACCACCAA